rnacentral:rRNA from 1 species
UUGACCUCGGAUCAGGUAGGGUUACCCGCUGAACUUAAGCAUAUCAAUAAGCGGAGGAAAAGAAACCAACAGGGAUUGCCUCAGUAACGGCGAGUGAAGCGGCAACAGCUCAAAUUUGAAAUCUGGCGGCCUCUGGGCCGUCCGAGUUGUAAUUUGAAGAGGAUGCUUUUGGCGAGGCGCCUUCCGAGUGCCCUGGAACGGGACGCCACAGAGGGUGAGAGCCCCGUAUGGUUGGACGCCGAGCCUCUGUAAAGCUCCUUCGACGAGUCGAGUAGUUUGGGAAUGCUGCUCAAAAUGGGAGGUAAACCCCUUCUAAAGCUAAAUACUGGCCAGAGACCGAUAGCGCACAAGUAGAGUGAUCGAAAGAUGAAAAGCACUUUGAAAAGAGAGUUAAAUAGCACGUGAAAUUGUUGAAAGGGAAGCGCUUGCGACCAGACUUGUGCCCGUCGAAUCAGCCGCCGCUCGCCGGCGGCGCACUUCGGCGGGCUCAGGCCAGCAUCAGUUCGCUGCAGGGGGAGAAAGGCGGCGGGAAUGUGGCUCUUCGGAGUGUUAUAGCCCGCCGCGCAAUACCCCUCGGCGGACUGAGGACCGCGCAUCUGCAAGGAUGCUGGCGUAAUGGUCGUCAGCGACCCGUCUUGAAACACGGACCAAGGAGUCGUCCUAAUAUGCGAGUGUUCGGGUGUAAAACCCCUGCGCGUAAUGAAAGUGAACGGAGGUGAGAGCUUCGGCGCAUCAUCGACCGAUCCUGAUGUUCUCGGAUGGAUUUGAGUAAGAGCAUAUUGGGCCGGACCCGAAAGAAGGUGAACUAUGCCUGUAUAGGGUAAAGCCAGAGGAAACUCUGGUGGAGGCUCGCAGCGGUUCUGACGUGCAAAUCGAUCGUCAAAUAUGGGCAUGGGGGCGAA